ACCUACGGGGGGCAGCAGUGAGGAAUAUUGGUCAAUGGUCGGGAGACUGAACCAGCCAAGCCGCGUGAGGGAGGAAGGUACAGAGUAUCGUAAACCUCUUUUGUCAGGGAACAAAGGCGGGGACGUGUCCCCGGAUGAGUGUACCUGAAGAAAAAGCAUCGGCUAACUCCGUGCCAGCAGCCGCGGUAAUACGGAGGAUGCGAGCGUUAUCCGGAUUUAUUGGGUUUAAAGGGUGCGCAGGCGGUCUGUUAAGUCAGCGGUCAAAGCCCGGGGCUCAAACCCGGCCCGCCGUUGAAACUGGCAGU
rnacentral:rRNA from 1 species